CAGCUUGUUGGCGGGGUAAUGGCCCACCAAGGCGACGAUCCGUAGCUGGUCUGAGAGGACGAUCAGCCACACUGGGACUGAGACACGGCCCAGACUCCUACGGGAGGCAGCAGUGGGGAAUCUUGCGCAAAUGCGGGAAACCGUGACGCAGCGACGCCGCGUGGGGGAAGAAGGCCUUCGGGUUGUAAACCUCUUUCAGGAGGGACGAAGCUACUCGGGUUAAUAGCCCAGAGGGUGACGGUACCUUCAGAAGAAGCCCCGGCUAACUACGUGCCAGCAGCCGCGGUAAUACGUAGGGGGCAAGCGUUGUCCGGAUUUAUUGGGCGUAAAGAGCGUGUAGGCGGCUUGGUAGGUCUGCUGUGAAAACUCGAGGCUCAACCUCGAGCUGUCGGCGGAAACCACUUGGCUAGAGUCCGGAAGAGGAGAGUGGAAUUCCUGGUGUAGCGGUGAAAUGCGCAGAUAUCAGGAAGAACACCUAUGGCGAAGGCAGCUCUCUGGGACGGUACUGACGCUGAGACGCGAAAGCGUGGGGAGCGAACAGGAUUAGAUACCCUGGUAGUCCACGCUGUAAACGAUGGGUGCUAGGUGUGGGCGGUGUCGACUCCGUCCGUGCCGCAGCUAACGCAUU
rnacentral:rRNA from 1 species